UAGAAGAGUGUGACAGUUUUGUAAGAAGGUGAGUAGGACAAUCUCAUAACUAGAAUAUCUUACAUAGUUCAGACAAGCAAAAACAAAUAGGGGAAAGGGAAAAUGGGACAAGUAGUUCAUGUGUAAGAGCAUAGUUGCACAUACAUAGACAUCAGAGAAGGCAUUUAAGGGCUUACAUAGCCACAACACAUUUUAUCCCAAAAUAUUCAUGGAAGAGGUUAAAGAUUACUUGGUAGCUAGAGAGGGUCAUGAAUACAUGCUAAUAAUGUUCUGGGGUUAGGGAGUAUGAAAGAACUACAUUAAACAAGUAAGAGAAGCAGUAGACAUGCUGAACUAAUGGAAGGGUAAUCACAUCAAUGAACUAGUAAAGAGGCACUCUAAUUGCAAGGUAAAUAGCAGAACCAUAAAUAGAAGCAUAAAAGAAAUAAGAGAAAGUGCAAUAUGCAUAAAAACAUGUCGUUUUGGAAGCUGUAAAUCAAAUAGAAGACAUACCAGUCAAGAGUGAGAUAAUAGAGCAAAAGUGUACAGGGAAG
rnacentral:lncRNA from 1 species